rnacentral:rRNA from 1 species
UACAGAGGUGGCAAGCGUUGUUCGGAAUUACUGGGCGUAAAGGGCGAGUAGGUGGCCAUCUAAGUCAGACGUGAAAUCCCCCGGCUUAACCUGGGAACUGCGUCCGAUACUGGCGGGCUUGAAUCCGGGAGAGGGAUGCGGAAUUCCAGGUGUAGCGGUGAAAUGCGUAGAUAUCUGGAGGAAUACCGGUGGCGAAGGCGGCAUCCUGGACCGGCAUUGACGCUGAGGAGCGAAAGCCAGGGGAGCAAACGGGG